rfam:Bombyx mori DNA, contig: Bm_scaf47_contig25348, strain: p50T/Dazao, build 2, whole genome shotgun sequence.
UUAAUUCAAAUUUGUAUGGAGUUGGAACGUUUGCGUAAGUUUGCCGCUAGGGGCGCUGUUCCAACUGCAUACAAAUUCAAGUUA